rnacentral:rRNA from 1 species
AGUGAACGCUGGCGGUAGGCCUAACACAUGCAAGUCGAACGGCAGCACAGUAAGAGCUUGCUCUUACGGGUGGCGAGUGGCGGACGGGUGAGGAAUACAUCGGAAUCUACUUUUUCGUGGGGGAUAACGUAGGGAAACUUACGCUAAUACCGCAUACGACCUACGGGUGAAAGCAGGGGAUCUUCGGACCUUGCGCGAUUGAAUGAGCCGAUGUCGGAUUAGCUAGUUGGCGGGGUAAAGGCCCACCAAGGCGACGAUCCGUAGCUGGUCUGAGAGGAUGAUCAGCCACACGUGAACUGAGACACGGUCCAGACUCCUACGGGAGGCAGCAGUGGGGAAUAUUGGACAAUGGGCGCAAGCCUGAUCCAGCCAUACCGCGUGGGUGAAGAAGGCCUUCGGGUUGUAAAGCCCUUUUGUUGGGAAAGAAAAGCAGCAGGUUAAUACCCCGCUGUUCUGACGGUACCCAAAGAAUAAGCACCGGCUAACUUCGU